rnacentral:rRNA from 1 species
AUUGAACGCUGGCGGCAUGCUUUACACAUGCAAGUCGAACGGUAACAGGCCGCAAGGUGCUGACGAGUGGCGAACGGGUGAGUAAUGCAUCGGAACGUGCCCAGUCGUGGGGGAUAACGCAGCGAAAGCUGCGCUAAUACCGCAUACGAUCUAUGGAUGAAAGCGGGGGACCGUAAGUCCUCGCGCGAUUGGAGCGGCCGAUGUCAGAUUAGGUAGUUGGUGGGGUAAAGGCUCACCAAGCCAACGAUCUGUAGCUGGUCUGAGAGGACGACCAGCCACACUGGGACGAGGACAGGGCCAAGACGCCUACGGGAGGCAGCAGUGGGGAAUUUUGGACAAUGGGCGCAAGCCUGAUCCAGCAAUGCCGCGUGCAGGAAGAAGGCCUUCGGUUUAUAAACUGCUUUUGUACGGAACGAAACGGCGAGCUCUAAUACAGUUUGCUAAUGACGGUACCGAAGAAUAAGCACCGGCUAACUACGUGCCAGCAGCCGCCGUAACAC